UGAGUCAGAUAAUCAUCAUUGGUGGUAGUUAUUAAUAAAAUACCCUCCCACAAGUGACUGCUUUUUGAGUGCAAGUAACUCCAUUAUGGCAAUGAGAUAAUAGGGCAUGCAUGCUCUUUUGGGAAAGGUUAUCUUUUUAUUAAGACAGUGCAUUUUUCUUUAAAGAAAUUUCUAUUAUUGUUGUUGUGUGAGUGCUCAUACUAUAUAUGAUCAGAGGAAAACGUCAUGGAGUAGGUUAUUCUCUUCGACUUUUAUGUGGGUUCUAGGGAUUGAACUAAGACCCUCAUGCUCUGAAAUAUAUUACACCUGUCUCUGCUUCCCAAAUGUUGGUGUUAAAGGUGUGUGCCAGCAUUCCUAACCUCUAGUCAGAUUCUAGAUUACUUGAUUGAUAUAGGGCCAUAGUUUUCUGUUAGAUUUAUACAUUUAAUUUGCAAAAUGCCAGGUUUUCCCCCUUUGAGUGUGAAGGUUUACCAUUUCUGUCUCUAGAAAGAGCUGGAAUGAAAUGUUUGGACUUUUAAUUUUCAUAGCAUUCUUUUUCUUUUCAACUUAGGAAGCAGAGACUCAAUAUGAAGAGCAGAUUGCUAAAAUUAUUAUGGAGA
rnacentral:lncRNA from 1 species